rnacentral:rRNA from 1 species
AUUGAACGCUGGCGGCAGGCCUAACACAUGCAAGUCGAGCGGAUGAAGGGAGCUUGCUCCUGGAUUCAGCGGCGGACGGGUGAGUAAUGCCUAGGAAUCUGCCUGGUAGUGGGGGAUAACGUCCGGAAACGGGCGCUAAUACCGCAUACGUCCUGAGGGAGAAAGUGGGGGAGCUUCGGACCUCACGCUAUCAGAUGAGCCUAGGUCGGAUUAGCUAGUUGGUGGGGUAAAGGCCUACCAAGGCGACGAUCCGUAACUGGUCUGAGAGGAUGAUCAGUCACACUGGAACGGAGACACGGUCCAGACUCCUACGGGAGGCAGCAGUGGGGAAUAUUGGACAAUGGGCGAAAGCCUGAUCCAGCCAUGCCGCGUGUGUGAAGAAGGUCUUCGGAUUGUAAAGCACUUUAAGUUGGGAGGAAGGGCAGUAAGUUAAUACCUUGCUGUUUUGACGGUACCAACAGAAUAAGCACCGGCUAACUUCGUG